GCACAGAGAGUAUCUCCUUGGUGCAUUCUGAGGUUCAAGGCGUGUCCUCUUCUUGGCCAGCGAGGAGCCCGUGUUAGCUCCAUGUGUCCCAGGACCCACUCAGUGAACUCAAACCGCCUGAUGCAAGCAGAUUCAUUUCCAAGAAGCACCCUUGAUGAUGGCAAGAGAUGUUUCUAAGGAUGUAGUGGUAGCUGGUGAAGGAAAAUUCUUUACCAGAUCAUGAUACCAGUAACUGUGACUGUAACAUAAUUUUCUGUUCCAAAAACAACAUUAGCAUAUUUCGGCUGUAGAUUCCAUUAGGCUACUUUACAGUACUGGUCGUCAGUCCUGGCUAUGAAAACAAAACUGCUCAGAAUAUUGCAGAAGUCGGAGGGAGAGCCAAGAUUACCUUACAUCCCAGGAAGGUAAUUUUGAAGUGAGCCUCUGGAUGCAGCAGCAGCAGCAGCAGCAGCAGCCUCUGAAGGGAGCCUGCUGUCCUGUUGACCUUGAGUGGGAGAGGAGCCAGAGGCUGCCCUUGGCAGGACCCGAAACCCUUUCUCUUUCCCGCCUCCCAGGUCUGCAGCCCUGAGGCUGCUCCACGCUCGGGCAGGAAGGUGUGCGCACGGAACGCUGGUGACCCUGCAGGGCUGCGCCCGGCUGUGGGCACAGAGACCACAGCCGAGUCCAGUGUCCAGGAAGUUCAGAGUGAUAGUCACUGAACUGCUGCAUUGAGGAUUAAUCCAAGGAAGUGGCCUUUUGCUCUCUGUAACUCAUGGAAAUAAGCUGGGGGCCCUGCCCCAGGGCCUGUUGGUAUCAAGACACACUGGGCUGCCCAGAGAUUGGGGAAUGUCUCGGUGUCACUUGCUGUCCUCCUGCUUGGAUCAGGUGUCUUGGUGUUUGGGUGACUCCAGCCUUCACUGGGCCUGGGAGAGAAGAACACAGGGGUUGGGGAAAGAACAUGAGACAGAUCCUGACAGUGCCAUGGAUUCGGGUGCCAUCAGGCUUAGAACAGAGAUGUCCCCGCCUGUUUCAAGGACAUACUUGCUCCCAGGAGACAGAGGUCCACACAGCAGGGGAGACUGUAGCCCAUGGCAGGCAAACAAUCUCAUCAAAUACCACUGAGAAGAGAGCCCUGAUACAUUUGCAUCUGACAUUGACGGUCACCAGCUCUGGUGCCAAUGAGCUAUGAUCAGUGACCCCUUUUAAAGAUGCCACCCAGAGGAGGAAAAUGCUACUCAGAGUGAAUCUUCGUGGAUAUAAACCAGAUAAAAUUAUCUCAAGCCCAGAUGGCAAUGUUCUUUAACUGAAUACUUUUUAUGAAUUUGUGCAUAUGUAACUCAUUAAAACCUUUUAUAACAGCA
rnacentral:lncRNA from 1 species